rnacentral:lncRNA from 1 species
CUGGGAGCAUAUACUAGACAAAAAUAAAAUGAAUGAAAGAAUCAGGAAGCUUCAAUAAAAAAAAAUAUACAUAUAUUUUUUAUAAAUUAGAAAGUCCAACGAAAACCAUUAAGUACCAUUCUCGUCGAAGCAUACCACACCAUCUAAAAUAAAUAAAGAAGGGGAAAAACCAGAUCUGAAAAUACACACUAACAGAAACUAAUCUCGCCGGUCCAUUUCCGCCGCUGAACCACCUAUCUCUCAAGAGGUGAAGUAGAACACAGGCUGCAGCAUGAGAUACAAGCAGAGGAAACAGGCGCUGGAAAAUGUCAGAAAAACCAGGCCAUAUAGCAUUCUGAGACCCAUUCACUGUCGAGAUUUCAAGAUCCGAGGAGAGAGAAGGAUCUGAGAGAGAGACAAAUUAUGUCCAAAGAGCAGAAGAGAUGCAAAUGGAUAAGGGACUGGUUUUUAUUUCUUAAGAGAUAAUUGCAGUCACGGCUCUAAACAUUUAAAUUUUACCCUGAUCUUUCAUUUGUUAUACUUGAGGUAUCAAACCUUUCAAGCAUGUGCGAUUGGAUGACAAAUAGAUGAAUUUGUUCAAAUUGCUAAAAAAUUGGCUAGGUUUAAAUCAAAUUUUAUAUAAGGA